GCUCCUCUGAGAAUUUUCUUCUGUGAGCCCAGGGCAUGGAAAAGGUGAUGAAGCUGGUGAUGAAGUGGGUACCUAGGCUCUGAUUCUCAUGAGCUCCUUGGAGGGACAAAUCCCUAUUGAACAGUUUCUUUCAAGUCCAUGAAGCUUGCUGAAGGAGAAUUACUCUAGCCUCUUGGUUAUGCAGGAGUUCCUACUUCAUUUCCUUCAUUGACAGAAACAGCAGAAUAAAGGUUUCCACAGUCCACCUCUGGGACCAGGCAGAAAGAAAAGGUGGAUCUGGAAGCAUUCAGAUUUGGAUUUGGUCUUCUUACUGGCAAAGGGAACAUGGUAGAAGAUAUGUACGAACAACUUAUGAUUUUACAUGCAAAUGUCAAAAUAAUAUUGCAAACAAGAUGAACUCCAGCUGUAUCUUACUCUACAUUUGAUAUAAUUUUGCUGCCUAUCUAGUGGGUGGCAGCCCUGUAUACAACACUGUGGUUAUAUCUGUUACUCUGGGACACUGUGUUUGUUAUUUUUAUAUCCAUUUGAGUCUACUGAUUCUUGAUGCAUGAGGAAAUACACCUAACUAUAUAUAUGACUGAAGGUAAAGAAGACAGCUAGAAUAGAUACAGAGUAAGUCAAGUCUUCUUGUGUUGCAAGAAAACCAAACUGUUUGGAGUGUCAAUUCAAAACUUAAACUUCUGAACACUACAAACUGAAGCAGGAGCAGAAAGCAAGGUGUAGUUAGUAGUGGAGACCAGAACGUUGGCCAUAUCUGAGUUUCCUAGUGUAGAAUCACAACUCUAAUCACAAUUCAGAGAACAGUGUUUUAAGUUAAAUUAAUGUUUACUUUUAAUUCUUCCUGUUCAACUCCUUAAAAAAUGGGACUUUUUCUAGAGUACAUGGUAAAUUAAAACUUUUGUUCAUUUUAUUUUUCCCCUGCUUAUUUACCCUGCUCUCCAUCACAGCUUUGCCUUGAGUACAAAAUACUUUUUUCACAUCAUAUACUGGAGAUGUCCAGCCACACUAAGGGAGUCUGAUUAAACUUAUUUUCUUGUCUGUCUUUCAAAUGGUUAUUUCAUUUAAUAACCGUAUUUAAUUUGCAUUUAAUUUCUGCAGCACUCUAUAGCAUCAAAAUAACAUUUAUUUGUCUGAAAUAUAAUACAGCUCCAAUCACGAUGUGUGCAAGAAACACAGUAUAUGAAUGCAUGUACAUGGAUGCAUACAUAUGUGUCUCUUUUCCUGAGAAGUUUUUUUUUCUUUCUCUUAAAUCUGUUCCAAACUUACCUAGAGGAAUGUUACUGAAUGGGUUAAAGACAUAAUAUUAAUGUUAUACCACACUGAUGUCAGCAAUUUAUAACGGGAUGGUGGGUUCCACUGCCAGAAGCUAUAGCACAGGAAAGAGUGUUAUUAUAACAGCAUGAUUCUCUAUGAAAGCCUGUCAUCUUCUGUUCUUGAACCUUUGCUAAUGUACUACGGCGAUGUGCCCAGAUAGAAAAUGAAUGUUUUUCAGCGUAAUGUGGUGGCUAUUAAUACAGUUACUACUAUACAAUAAAUGGCUGCUACUGCUUGCCAUCUUUUUAAAUUCACAGAGACAUUGGAAUCUCUUGAGACACCAUUGUUUCUAAAGGGCCACAUACUUUAUUCCUUAUUCAGAUGAAGCUCUUAAUAACUUAGCUCAGUAGGAACUUUCCUUUUAAGAAUUUUAAGCUCUUGAGACCAACUGGGUACAAAUACCACACUGUGUCAGACCACAUUCAGUGUGAUUGACACAGCAUAAUGCAACACAUGAGUUUGAAUUUUUAUGCUUGCUGUUCUCAUACUUGCAUAGUCUUCUAACAGUGGGGACAAUACCAGCAUCCAGUGCAUGCUCAGCAGCAUAAAAACAGAAAAUGUGAAUAUUAUCACUAGCCUACCAUUACAUUUGACUGACUACCUUGACAACUCACAGUAGAUAAACAAAAGUUUUAACACUUGUUUAACUAUUCCCAGAAAUUUCUUUAUUCAGCUACCACUUUCAUAAAUCAGUUAUCAGUGUAUUCAUGAUUUCCUUGCUUCUCCUUCAGACCUAAAGGGAAACUUUCAGUCUUGUAAAGAAAUUCUGUGCAAAGCAUUUAAUAGUCACGGAUACUUUUGAUUAGAAUGAUGAAUUCUUGAAACAUCACCAAGGACUAUGUAGCUAAUUGUCCAAGGACAGUUUUACCUGGUUGUUUGUAGCUUAUAUACUAAGCAAAUUAUCAACAAUGUUUAUUCUUGGAAAGAUAAUUUCACCAAUGCUGUUAAUCAAGACAGAAAUCUGAGUCACAAAGAUUAGUAGAUGCAUCUUGAUCAUGCCAGUCACAGGAGGCAGCUAGGUCACCAAUGCAAACAUGACAGUCUGAGGCACCAGGUCACUCAGAGCAUCACCUCAGCAAGCAGGGAGAGCAAGAAAAUUUUAUGGAAUAAGUAAA